GCGUGCCAAUUGGUUCCGAAUCAUCAACGUGAUUGCGGGGGUGAUUGAUAUCAUAAAAUGGAUGGAGGAGACGCGUUGUUGGAGGAAUCCGACUGCUACGGUGUUGGUACAUGCAUUGUUGGUGAUGCUGGUGUGGUUCCCUGAUUUAAUUAUCCCCACCUUGGCAUUUUACAUGUUUGUAGUUGGGGUGUGGAAUUAUAGGUUAAGGUCACGGGAGCCACUGCCGCACUUUGAUCCCAAGAUCUCAUUGGCGGAUACGAUUGAUCGGGAUGAGCUGGAUGAAGAGUUUGAUGNNNNNNNNNNNNNNNNNNNNNNNNNNNNNNNNNNNNNNNNNNNNNNNNNNNNNNNNNNNNNNNNNNNNNNNNNNNNNNNNNNNNNNNNNNNNNNNNNNNNAGUUUGAUAUUUUUUUAUUAUUAUAAUGUUGAGAUAUUGGACUACAUUAAAUAUAUUAUUCAUUUGUUCCAUCUUUAAUGUAAUAGUCAAUAUUUUAGUUUUUUAAAUUGAUUAAAAAAUCAUAAUUAAUAGUCAUUAUUGAGAAGAAGUUUCACUAGCCUUAUUUGUGGAAUAGAACCAUAUAUGUGUGUAUAUAUAUAUAUAUACUUUUUAAUCUCUCUCUCCGGCCCUUGGUCCAUACAAAAGUAUGGUCAGUUUGAAAAAGUAGAAGAGAAUCUUCAUCAACUAAAGGAAGGGAUUAAUAUUAUCAAUAUGGUAAUGAUUUAAAAUCAUAUAUAGGGGGAAUCAAAUGUUAACAAUUAAUAUGGUACCUAUUUUUGUUCAAAUUCUAUCACUUAUGUUAGUAACUAUUUUUGGUUUUUGAAUUAUGAUUCAUCUUAUAUUUAUUUACAUAUUUUGCGCCUAUAAGUUUUACAAUGUAUAGUAUGAAUAUAAGUUUGAAUAUCACUGCGCGCAAUUUAAUUUAUACUUAUAAUGCGCGUCUCUUUCUUCUUAGCAAUACAAAGACAAGCACGUAUAUAUACAUACAUAUAAUAUAUACUGUAAAAGCAGUGCGAAAGAAAACGAAAAAAGUGAAAAAGUAGAAUCUAAAUGCUGGAAAAGGAAAAUAUUAUCUUAAGAAGCAAUAAGUAAAGCAAUAUUAUUAAUUAAUAUAUAAGAAAAAGAAGGAUUUGAAUAAUUUGUAUUACUGGCCUAAGGCUAAGGCUGCUUGCUUGCACAUGAAGUUAAGUACCUUUCUUAUCUCCUGCCCUUUAUUUUCCACCUAAGAACUCCAUUAUACUCUUUCUAUGUUAUAUAAAACUACCCUUAAUUUCCCCUAACCCAAAAACCCUCUUUCUUCAAUUUCAUCCCAUAAAUUUCCCAAACUCCCCCCACCGUACGUAUUACUAGCUGCUACACAAAAUGUGACUAAACUUGAUCUCCUCUAAAACUUUUAAGAAUUAGAUAGCUAGCUAGCUGGGGAGUCGCUAAAUCAAUAUUAAUUAAUUGUUUCGCCCAGUUCUGUCCAAUCGAUCCAUCGUGUCAUGGCGGUAGGUAGUAUUCGAAAGUUAGUGGUGGAGGUGGUGGAUGCCCGUAAUCUUUUGCCGAAAGAUGGGCAUGGAACGUCGAGUCCUUACGUGAUUCUUGAUUUCUAUGGUCAAAGAAGAAAGACAAGAAGCAUUAUCUGUGACCUAAAUCCGGUAUGGAAUGAGACCGUUUCUUUUAAUGUUGGGAAGCCAUCUAGUGUUUUCGGUGACAUGCUUGAGGUGGAUGUUUAUCACGAUAAAAACAUCGGUCCUACUACUAGAAAUAAUUUCCUCGGUAGAGUUCGCUUGAAUUCCCGCCAGUUUGUUAGGAGAGGCGAGGAGGCUUUGAUUUAUUAUACUCUGGAGAAAAAGAAUUUGUUUUCUUGGAUUCAAGGUGAAAUCGGUUUAAAGAUUUAUUUUACGGAUCAUGAGCCUNNNNNNNNNNNNNNNNNNNNNNNNNNNNNNNNNNNNNNNNNNNNNNNNNNNNNNNNNNNNNNNNNNNNNNNNNNNNNNNNNNNNNNNNNNNNNNNNNNNNGAAGCUGCUUCAACACAAGAGGCACAAUUGGAUCCUCAUCAAAUGAAGGCAUCUAUAGAAUCAGGAUCAAUACCAGAAGUCAAAGUCGGUAGUACAUACGGUCCACGACCAAUCUCACGCGCUGCAUCAGUCAGUAGCUUCAUAUCAGACGCAUCAGACAACAUUUCAAUCGAACGUCCCUCAUUCGACCUUGUGGAGAAAAUGCACUACCUCUUCAUUCGAGUUGUCAAAGCUCGAUCUCUCCCUACUCCCGGCAAUCCGGUGGUCAAGAUUAUUGUAUCAGGUUCCCAAGUCACAUCCAAACCCGCUCGUAUAACCAUGUUCUUCGAGUGGGAUCAAACUUUUGCAUUCAGCCGCGACGCACCAGAUUCCUCUUCCAUCCUAGAAGUGUCAGUGUGGGACUCGCUAAUUUCCAGCUCGACGUCCGACGUGGCAGGUCAUAGCUUCUUAGGUGGCAUAUGCUUCGAUGUGACUGAGAUCCCACUGCGGGACCCACCGGAUAGCCCGCUGGCUCCGCAAUGGUACAGACUUGAAGGAGGUGGCGCCCAUAAAGGCGAUCUCAUGCUUGCCACGUGGGUUGGGACACAAGCUGACGAGUCAUUCCCAGAAGCAUGGAAGACCGACACAGCCGGUAAUCCCAGUUCACGAUCUAAAGUCUACCAAUCACCUAAAUUGUGGUAUUUGAGAUCAACCGUGAUUGAGGCCCAAGACAUAUCCGGGUUAGCGCCGUCAAGAGAUUCAUCCUUCCAAGUUAAAGCUCAGUUGGGAUUUCAAGUACAAAAGACUAAGCUAUCUCCCACACGUAACGGAUCUCCGUCAUGGAAUGAAGACUUGAUGUUUGUAGCUGCUGAGCCAUUUAGUGACAGCCAACUAGUAUUCUUUCUAGUGGAAUACCGGGAACCUAAAGAACAGGUUAUCCUAGGGGUUGCUAGCAUACCACUCACGUCCAUAGAGCGCCGUGUUGACGACCGGAAUGUGGUAUCAAGAUGGUUCACCUUUGAAGAUCCAAAUCAAGACAAGAGAGUAUAUAAAGGUAGGGUCCACCUAAGGGUAUGUUUCGACGGUGGAUAUCACGUGAUGGAUGAAGCUGCUCACGUGUGUAGCGAUUAUCGUCCGACCGCGAAGCAGCUUUGGAAACCCCCUGUUGGGACAGUUGAGCUGGGGAUCAUUGGAUGCAAGAAUUUAUUACCUAUGAAGACCAUCAACAACAAGGGUUCUACUGACGCAUAUGCAGUGGCGAAGUAUGGUAACAAAUGGGUACGCACUCGCACGGUGUGUGAUACCCUGGACCCGAAAUGGAAUGAGCAGUACACGUGGAGGGUUUACGAUCCGUCCACAGUGUUGACGAUUGGUGUUUUUGACGGUUGGGAAGUAUUCGAAUCAGACGGCCAGAGAGUGUCCACGCGCCCUGAUUUUCGGAUUGGAAAGGUACGCAUACGAAUCUCCACCCUAGAGACUGGUAAGGUGUACAAAAAUAUGUUUCCAUUGCUUUCGUUAUCUCCUGCUGGAUUAAAGAAAAUGGGUGAAAUAGAGGUGGCCGUACGAUUCGCACGUGCGACUCCCACGNNNNNNNNNNNNNNNNNNNNNNNNNNNNNNNNNNNNNNNNNNNNNNNNNNNNNNNNNNNNNNNNNNNNNNNNNNNNNNNNNNNNNNNNNNNNNNNNNNNNAAAGAAUUUGUUUUCUUGGAUUCAAGGUGAAAUCGGUUUAAAGAUUUAUUUUACGGAUCAUGAGCCUUCUCCGCCACCAGCACCACCCCCUCCCCCUCCACCACAGCAGGAAACUAAGUCUGAUCCACCACCACCAAUUGCAGAGGGAGCACCAGAAGCUGCAAAUUCUGAUCCGCCACAACCGGAUGGUGGCAAUCCAAGUGAAGCUGCGCCUCCACCGCCGCCUGCUGACGCCGUACCGCCACCUCCACCGCUGUCUGCUGACGCCGUAGCUUCACCUCCAGCUGAAAACGGGCCGUCAGCUGCUAAUGCUGGGGCACCAACAACACCGCCACUUGCUGAAGCUGCACCAUCGCCGCCGGCGAAUGUCACUCCUGAAGCUGAGCCCCUAGUCCAAGGAGCUAACAAUCCAGUGGAAGCUGCUUCAACACAAGAGGCACAAUUGGAUCCUCAUCAAAUGAAGGCAUCUAUAGAAUCAGGAUCAAUACCAGAAGUCAAAGUCGGUAGUACAUACGGUCCACGACCAAUCUCACGCGCUGCAUCAGUCAGUAGCUUCAUAUCAGACGCAUCAGACAACAUUUCAAUCGAACGUCCCUCAUUCGACCUUGUGGAGAAAAUGCACUACCUCUUCAUUCGAGUUGUCAAAGCUCGAUCUCUCCCUACUCCCGGCAAUCCGGUGGUCAAGAUUAUUGUAUCAGGUUCCCAAGUCACAUCCAAACCCGCUCGUAUAACCAUGUUCUUCGAGUGGGAUCAAACUUUUGCAUUCAGCCGCGACGCACCAGAUUCCUCUUCCAUCCUAGAAGUGUCAGUGUGGGACUCGCUAAUUUCCAGCUCGACGUCUGACGUGGCAGGUCAUAGCUUCUUAGGUGGCAUAUGCUUCGAUGUGACUGAGAUCCCACUGCGGGACCCACCGGAUAGCCCGCUGGCUCCGCAAUGGUACAGACUUGAAGGAGGUGGCGCCCAUAAAGGCGAUCUCAUGCUUGCCACGUGGGUUGGGACACAAGCUGACGAGUCAUUCCCAGAAGCAUGGAAGACCGACACAGCCGGUAAUCCCAGUUCACGAUCUAAAGUCUACCAAUCACCUAAAUUGUGGUAUUUGAGAUCAACCGUGAUUGAGGCCCAAGACAUAUCCGGGUUAGCGCCGUCAAGAGAUUCAUCCUUCCAAGUUAAAGCUCAGUUGGGAUUUCAAGUACAAAAGACUAAGCUAUCUCCCACACGUAACGGAUCUCCGUCAUGGAAUGAAGACUUGAUGUUUGUAGCUGCUGAGCCAUUUAGUGACAGCCAACUAGUAUUCUUUCUAGUGGAAUACCGGGAACCUAAAGAACAGGUUAUCCUAGGGGUUGCUAGCAUACCACUCACGUCCAUAGAGCGCCGUGUUGACGACCGGAAUGUGGUAUCAAGAUGGUUCACCUUUGAAGAUCCAAAUCAAGACAAGAGAGUAUAUAAAGGUAGGGUCCACCUAAGGGUAUGUUUCGACGGUGGAUAUCACGUGAUGGAUGAAGCUGCUCACGUGUGUAGCGAUUAUCGUCCGACCGCGAAGCAGCUUUGGAAACCCCCUGUUGGGACAGUUGAGCUGGGGAUCAUUGGAUGCAAGAAUUUAUUACCUAUGAAGACCAUCAACAACAAGGGUUCUACUGACGCAUAUGCAGUGGCGAAGUAUGGUAACAAAUGGGUACGCACUCGCACGGUGUGUGAUACCCUGGACCCGAAAUGGAAUGAGCAGUACACGUGGAGGGUUUACGAUCCGUCCACAGUGUUGACGAUUGGUGUUUUUGACGGUUGGGAAGUAUUCGAAUCAGACGGCCAGAGAGUGUCCACGCGCCCUGAUUUUCGGAUUGGAAAGGUACGCAUACGAAUCUCCACCCUAGAGACUGGUAAGGUGUACAAAAAUAUGUUUCCAUUGCUUUCGUUAUCUCCUGCUGGAUUAAAGAAAAUGGGUGAAAUAGAGGUGGCCGUACGAUUCGCACGUGCGACUCCCACGCUAGAUAUUUUGCACUUGUACUCGAUGCCUCUAUUGCCCAUAAUGCACCACAUCAAGCCUAUUGGUGUGAUGCAACAAGAGAUGUUGAGAUCCACGGCUGUUAAGAUCGUGUGCGCACACUUGUCACGAUCUGAGCCACCCCUUCCACGCGAGGUCAUAACGUAUAUGCUGGAUGCCGAUUCGCACGCGUUCAGCAUGCGUAAAGUGCGUGCCAAUUGGUUCCGAAUCAUCAACGUGAUUGCGGGGGUGAUUGAUAUCAUAAAAUGGAUGGAGGAGACGCGUUGUUGGAGGAAUCCGACUGCUACGGUGUUGGUACAUGCAUUGUUGGUGAUGCUGGUGUGGUUCCCUGAUUUAAUUAUCCCCACCUUGGCAUUUUACAUGUUUGUAGUUGGGGUGUGGAAUUAUAGGUUAAGGUCACGGGAGCCACUGCCGCACUUUGAUCCCA
rnacentral:lncRNA from 1 species